GGGAUGACACAGUAGGAUAAGCUAAGCACACUGUUGGUUAUGUGUGCCCAAGCAUUGAGGCAGUCAAAGUAGGCAAAUCCGCUUUGAUAAUGCUGGGAUGUGAUGGGGAGCGAAAUUUAGUAGCGAAGUAGCUGAUUUCACACUGUCAAGAAAAGUCUCUAUCGAGGUUAAAGGUACCCGUACCGCAAACCGACACAGGUGGGUGAGGAGAGUAUCCUAAGGCCAGCGAGAGAACUGUUGUUAAGGAACUCGGCAAAAUGACCCCGUAACUUAGGGAUAAGGGGUGCCACCAUCAGGUGGCCGCAGAGAAUAGGCCCAAGCGACUGUUUACCAAAAACAUAGGUUUCUGCUAAGUCGCAAGACGAUGUAUAGGAGCUGACGCCUGCCCGGUGCUGGAAGGUUAAGGGGA
rnacentral:rRNA from 1 species